GUUAGAUGCCUUUCUUAUAAUGAAAAGAUUCAAGAGGCUGCUGAAGUUUAUUGUUAUAUGUCAGGAAAGCAAGUAGCUUUGCAGUCAACCUCUUUUGAUUUGUUCAUUAAGGGGCUUUGUGCAAUAAGAGAAGUCGAGAGUGCAAUCAGGUUUCUAUCUCUUGCUCAUUGUUCUGGUACAUCGUACUCGUCUGUAGCUUACUACAGCAUAAUGCGAGUUUUAUCCAAGUUAGAAAAGGCAGAUGACCUUUUAGUGGUAUUAUCACGAAUGAUUGUAGAUGGUUGUCCUGUUGAGGAAGAAACUUAUUUUAUCCUCAUAGAAAGUAUGAGUCUAGCUGAUAAUCCAGACCAUUGUGCUCGGUUUUUCAAUGUGAUGCUCAGCAAGGGUUUAUUACCCAACUCCGAAACACUAACUACUGCACUGUCUUGUUUAGACAAGCAUUCUCAAAUGCACAUGAUUUUGAGUGCUAUGGAUCAGCUUAUCCCUUGUUCUAAUAUUCUUGGUUCCAGUACCUAUAACAUGCUCAUCAGGGGCCUUUUGAAAGAAGGAUAUAGGAGUGCAGCUGGUCGCUUGCUAGAUGUAAUGUUGGGGAAGGGUUGGAUUCCUAGUACUGAAACUCAUCAAUUACUGGUUGGUUCUGUUGUAAAAGAGGAAUCAGAAGUAAGAGCAUAUAUGAGCGAAAAUUUUGGUCCGCAGGAUGAGGUUAGCAGCAUACUUGAAAAUGCAUUGGCUCAAACAUAACCUGAUUCCAUAUAUCAACACUAUCAUUGGCCGUUGUUGAAUGUCUCCAUUAAGUGCGAUUGUGAAAGCCUCUGUAAGACUUGUAGAUUUCAUCUCAGACUUCAGUGCUAUAAAAGGUAUGCUAUGUUCACACAGCACAUAACUUUGCUUCACGUGGCAUGGGUACUUAACAAAUUGUUCUUCUGACAGUCUUACAUGCACUUAAUAUGUUGGUACAUACUCCACCAAAUUUUAAAAAAUUUUUUUUUUUUGUGUUUUUAAUUUCUUUAGUGGUAGGGCUGGUGUCGGUGUCAGGUCCUGAUUAUGACACUUCAGUGGAUACUGUCAAGUUGUUUUUCGGAUGCUUCUUUGUUGUAUACGUUCUUUGCGGGGAUGUUUCUCAUCAACUCAUGCUCUAUUACAAAUGUACUGAAUUUUGAAGGAAGUUGCUAGAUGGGAAAGUUGUAGGAGCUCUUUGGAAAGAGAUUCUUUUGGAAAGUCAUCUGUACUUGGAACGUCUGGAAUUACUGUUGUACAAGGCAUAAAGGCUUUUGGUUCAUUCGUCCCGGAUAAGAUAAUUAUGUCGUGGAAACUGAUAAUGAUAGGUAUGCUUGCUGAUAGUUUACGUGAAAUUAAUUAAGAGCUACAAGCUUGCGAUGUGGCCUUUUACAUCAUGCACUGGAGGUUAAGGUAAAAGGGACUUGAAUGAAGACGGUUUAGAUAAUACUUACUUUUUUGGGAGGAAUUAGAAGGUACAAUGAAGUAAGGGGACACUUUUGAGCAGCCAAAAGGAUGAGCCAGUUAUCACCUGAACUCCUAAACCUGGGAGUUAAAUUAAAGGUAAAAAAUCUACAUACAACAGAAUUUACAGAACGAAUGACAGGCAGCUGACAGCAGAUUGUUCAAGGCAUAUGCAAUUUGCAGAGUAUGAAAGAUACGGCAACUGGAUUGGAUCAAUGAAAAUUUUGUGGUAUGCUGGUUAUAUCUUGUAUGUAUAGUAUAAUUGAGCUAUAUUGAAGCAUGUUUAAAGCAGGUCCAACAUUGUUAUUAUGUUGAUCCUUCUUCUAGAUGCAUGUGUACACUCAAGUGGGAAAAAAUUGUGCGAGCUUCUGAUGGCAACCUGCUUCACUUGUAUCUAUUGUAAUGACAUAAAUCAUGGCAUAGUUGUCAAUGACUAGCUCUUGUGAUGUCUGUGAGAAGGUUUAAUGUUUUUGAAUCUUCAGACUAGAAUUAUUAUUAUUAUUAUUAUUAUUUUUGGCUGCCUCUGUGGAGUAGUUGGGAAUUUUCGUGAUUGUUGUACGUGGAAUUUCCACGUAUCAUGUUCACUUUUCUUGUGAAAGGGCAAAAUCUGAACCGUGUAGCGUGUCUGCAUUGAGGUUAAGGCUUGCUCUUUGGGACGGAUAAAUGCAGCUAGUUUGGUUUAGAUUCUGGAUUAAUGACUUAAACAGAAGUAGUCUGGUGGACAUGGUCCUGUGCUUAUCAUUCUUCUCCUAGUCUCUGGGAUUUCAUGCUGUGUAAUUUGUAUCUUCUGGCUUCAGCUGGGAUUUUGGAUCAUUCUUGCCUAGUCUUUGUGGUGGUGUACUUUGUUUCUUUAGCUGGGAUUAUGAUGACAACAUAACCUCGUAAUGCGAGCUCUUUUAUGCAGGCGGGCACUUGUUUGCUGUAAUUGCUAUUGGAUUCUUCAGUCAUGCACAUGCACUUAGGUAUCCAAAACAUGAUCUUGUGUAGUAACAUGGGGCAUGCGGUAGAUUAAGUCUUUCUGCAUGAUUGAGCACAUUUACUAAGGUAAAGCUUAAAGGCCAGUUUAAGUAAUCGCAGCAGUUUUCUCUGGCAAAUUGCCAUCUGCUAGGUCGUAGGUACACAACAUUCAAAAUUAUUUUUUUCUCCAGUUUCUGCUAAUUUCUUGCAGCUAACGAGAGCCGUCCUAGUUAUUCUUUUCUUGGUUUCGUCUCCAAAACCACACGGGGCCAUGCUUUUUCUCUCCCCAACCUGGUAAUGAUCCAUUGCAAUGUUAAAUUCACAUCUGAAAAUGUACUAGCUCGAUUAUCAUGAACGACUGUCUUGUCUAGAUGAUGCUCUUUUCUGCGCGUCCAAUUCGAAGGAAGGAAGGAAGAUUCAUGCGACAGCCAACGGGCAUUGUCUGUGGUUGUUGGACGUGUUGCACGUUUGACGCGAGGUUGGUUUACUUUCCGCGAAUACUGCUGCCAUUGAAGAUCAGUCGGCAGUCUGACUUUGAUUUUUUUUUUUUUUUUUUACUAACGACUGCUAAUCCUCCCAUGGAGGGAAAACCAUCCAACUAUACUAAUUGUUGUUUGUGACCCAAUCUCGUGUGUGUCAAUUUCUUGAUUGUCAAAAGGGAUGGAACAUAAAGACUAGGACUCAAUUCCUGUUUAACACCCCCUAUGGCUUGACAGGAGGAGGGAAAAAAGCAGUGGAGGAGGCAGGCAUACAUGGUACAGGACUAAUGACUUGUCCACUGACUUUGGGUAUUGACUCUCAAGUCUCACCCAUUGGAGGCAAGAAAGCAGCAUGAGUUGCUUGGUCCAUCAAAUUGCCUGGUGGGGUGGAAAGUGGAAAGUGGGAAGUGGGAUUUGUGUGAGUCCUACUACUUAAUAGUGCAUAAUCAUUUUGUGCAUUGUAUGGCUAUAUCCCAUUACCUAGUUGCACAAAUUGAGAUGGUAUGCAAGCCAAGCCAACUGGUGUGUCACUUAAAUGAUACCAGAUUUGGUUAUUGAAUAAAAUUUUCAUAUUGGGUUUUGAACUUUUGAUACAAAUAAAAUUCCAAAUUCACGUAUAAAUGAGUUAAGCUACUUGAGUUUGAAUUAAAGUUGGCUUGAUAAAAUAAAAAUCGGUUGGAGUUCAACGAGAAGGAUGCUAAGGUGCUCGGCUCCGGAGUAGAAGUCCAAUUCUUGAGACAGCUUACAAUUUUAUUUUAUUUUUUAAAAAAAAGAAGAGAAGAGAGAGAGAGAGAGAGAGAGAGAGAGAGAGAGAGAGAGAGAAAUUGUUCUGGAGGAAGAGAGUAUAAAGAGACUGUAUAAGGAACUAACAGAUAUAUAGACUCAAUAAAUCAAAUGAGUGUUCUAGUAUCUCUUUUAAAUUUUUUUCAUUGUAGGUGAGAUUCGAACCCCUGACUUGCAGUUCAAAGAGAGAUUUAUUCACUUUUUUAUGGCCACUGAUGAUUUACAUCACACUUAAUUUCUCUUUUUAUGAAAAAAUUGGUUGGACAUAUAUCUACUUAUCUAAGACUAAGAGCUGCUUCUAGCAUUGAACAUCAAAGACGAAAUUUUUCAUCUAUGAUUGAACACUCCAAAUCAUUAAAAUUUGAUAGGGUAGGAGAAUCUUGCCUCCCACCAAUUGAUACAUUAAGGUACUAUGGUUAAAAAAUUUAGACGGGUGUAUAAUGUAUCCAUCUGGUCCAAUAUAAAUUAUAUAAUUAUCGUUUUGAAAAAAAAAAAAAAGAACACCCAAUAGAAAGAGAAAGAGAAAAAGAAAAAGAAAAAUGAAAAAAUGUAAGGAGGAGAAGAAAACAAAUUACUCUUUUUAACUUUUUGUUAGCGACUGACUAAUGAACUGCCCAUCCAUCCAAAUGUUCUUGCACAAACGUCACCUAAGCAUAAGCUUUUUUUUUUUUUUUGGGAGAAAAACCUGAGCCCUAAUUCGAAACUUGUACUAUAUGCUAAAAAAGUUGCACUAAAAAUGUUAAAAUGCCGGUUGAGAAAUUAAUGUCUCGAGAAACAGGAGAGCAAUGGCAAUCACGGAAUCCCAGUGUCCCAUUCCUUAUUUGGUGUUAAAUUACUUCCUGAAUCAAUUUUUAGUUUUUACUUCUUCCUCUUCCACAGGGAGCGAUUCCCAGGCAAAUCAUUAAAAAGCGAAAAUCCCAGGUUAGAGUUUGAUCAUUCCCGCUGUUUACUACUUUUCUUUGCUGCAAACCUUUCAUAUGGAACUUCAAUGGCUGUAAAGCUUGCAUCUUUAGCAUUUUUAAAGAGAAUUCCCAAAAGGGUCAAUUUAAAUGCCUCUUUUUCUUCACUUUCAUGUGCAAAUGUUGUUCAUAUCAAUUCAGAAACUGAUCAUACUCCGUCAAAAUCUGCUGAUUUUGAGUCAAAGAUCCAAUUUUUAAAGAAUAAGCUUCAUCCAGAUAUCUUGGUCCAUGUCUUGGAUUCCACAACUGAUGUAAAUUCUUCGUUGAAAUUGUUCAAAUGGGCUUCACUUCAGAAAACGUUUAAGCAUAAUGUGGAUACUUAUUAUUUGAUGAUUUUGAAGUUGGGUUUGGCUGGAAAUAUUGAGGAAAUGGAGGGAUUUUGUAAUGAGAUGUUAAAGGAGAAAUGUCCUGGUUUUGAUGAAGCUUUCUUGGGAUUGAUUGAAUGUUUUGUUAGAAAUGAUAGGCUUGACGAGGCUUUGAGGGUUCUUUCUUGUAUGAAUUCAAGAAGUUUUAAGCCUUCAGUAAGUGUUUUUAAUAUAGUAAUGGGUGCACUUUUGGUGGCAAAGAGGGAUUUCAAGGAUGUAUUAUUUGUGUAUAAAGAAAUGGUGAAAGUAGGAAUUGUUCCCAACGUGGAGACUUUGAAUUACUUGUUGGAAGCGCUGUUAGAGGAUGAUAGGGUGGGUACAGCUUUGGAACAAUAUAGAAGGAUGAAUAAGAAAGGGUGUAGUCCUAAUAGUAGGACCUUCGAGGUUCUCAUUAGUGGACUUAUUGCCAGGGAAAGGAUCGAUGAAUCUUUGCUUCUUUUAGAUGAAAUUUUUGAACUUAGGUGUGAGGUGGAUUUGAGCUUUUACACUCGGAUAGUACCGCUGCUUUGCCAGAUUAAUAAAUGUGAGGCAGGGAUGAUGUUACUUGUGAAGAUGAAAGCUUCAAAAAUUUCUCCAGAUUCUUCAACUUAUGGAGCUAUGAUAAUAUGUUUAUGCCAGAAUCUUUAUGUGGAUGAAGCUGUCAACCUUUUUGAAGAGAUGGUGGGCAGCGGAAUAACUCCAGAGGAUGAUCUCUAUGUGGAUAUUGUGAAGGGAUUUUGUACAUUAUGUAAAUUUAGUGAAGCAAAGAAGUUUUUAGUAGAUAAUGAUGUUGAUAUAACUUGUCCUUACAAUGCACUUCUUGGAGCUUAUUGCAGUUAUGGUAAUCUUGCGGCAGCAAAAGAUCUGUUUGAUGAUAUGUUUGAGAGGAGUUUAACUGAUAGCUUGUCUUGGAAUUUCUAUAUUCGGUGCCUAUGUGAGAUUGGCGAUAUCAAGAAAGCCUUGGAAGUUCUUUGUAGAAUGAUUGUUUUUUCAUUUCUUCCUGACUCUAUCACUUACUCCGCUCUUAUCAUUGGCAGAUGCAAGCAGGAUGAACUUGAUGAUGCUAUACUGUUGUUCAAUCAGGUCCAGCAGAAGUGUGAUGUUUUGGAUUCUGUAUCCUAUGCUGAACUUGUUAGAUGCCUUUCUUAUAAUGAAAAGAUUCAAGAGGCUGCUGAAGUUUAUUGUUAUAUGUCAGGAAAGCAAGUAGCUUUGCAGUCAACCUCUUUUGAUUUGUUCAUUAAGGGGCUUUGUGCAAUAAGAGAAGUCGAGAGUGCAAUCAGGUUUCUAUCUCUUGCUCAUUGUUCUGGUACAUCGUACUCGUCUGUAGCUUACUACAGCAUAAUGCGAGUUUUAUCCAAGUUAGAAAAGGCAGAUGACCUUUUAGUGGUAUUAUCACGAAUGAUUGUAGAUGGUUGUCCUGUUGAGGAAGAAACUUAUUUUAUCCUCAUAGAAAGUAUGAGUCUAGCUGAUAAUCCAGACCAUUGUGCUCGGUUUUUCAAUGUGAUGCUCAGCAAGGGUUUAUUACCCAACUCCGAAACACUAACUA
rnacentral:lncRNA from 1 species